UCCCACUAGCAUCACCAGUAAGGUGGAGUAG
rnacentral:piRNA from 1 species